UGCCGUGGACUACAAGAAGCUGAGGAAGCUCAUACUUGGGAAAAAGCUCGCGCCUUGCUUCGAUGUCGUUGAGGAUUCUGAGAUCGCCGGCAAUCUCGAAGAGUGCCCCAUUUGCUUCCUCUAUUAGUAUUAUCCAAGCUGAACAGAUUGAACUACAUCCACUGGGUUGAAGACCUCCUGUCCUCUGAGCUCAUCCUGCUAAGCGAGGGCUCUGAUGGCAAAGUGAGGGAUUUGAUAUCGGGAAUGUGGCCAAUUGCAUCUACCCGCUCUUGGGCGCGUCCCUGUUAGGAUGGAGCUUCGUUGGCUCAGAUGGAACUCUCCAUUCUUUCCUAGGGUUUAUAUUCUUGAUUAAGCAUUGACAGAUACACGAUGUAUCAACUUGUUGUAGGAGUAUUUGAUAUUGUUUGUUGUACAUGUGGGUGGACCGCUUCUUACAACAAUACUUUUGUUAGAGAAAUAUAGGUCGUUCAGAACUUUAUAGUACAUUGUGGAAGACUUUUGUAAUAUGUGAAGCUGUAAGACUAAUCAUAUUAUGUAUUCAAACAAUAUUAGCUGUAAGAAUGUAAAAAAUUUUAUGUAA